GAUCGGGGACAUCCAGCAGGGGGCCUGAGCACUUGGUGAGACAAAGCAGCAGCCAGUCAUCGGCAUGACCUCAGGAGACUGCAGCCUUCUUGGAGUUUCUUCCCAGUUAUCUCCUAUCAUGACCAUGGAUGAGGCAGACGACGAUGAUGAUGAUUGGGGAAAUGAAGAGGUUUAUUGGAGGUUUGCUGCCAAGGGUAGACAAUGGGAACUGAACCAAUAGAGCAUUUGUGUUGAGCUGUACUCCUUUGCUGUACAGUACAUUUGGGGGAAUGUACACAUCACUCCCAUGACAAGCUAAACUUGUACACAGUAUUAUAUUGUGUUAUUAUACCUGCUGAAAUAUUUUGUACUAUGUAGUGUAAAAUGUAUAUAGUGAAAUCGGGCAUGCUUUAAAAAAUGAUGGGCUUGUAUAUUCUCCACUGAUACAGGAAUGGAUUUAACACUGAUAUUAACUUCUCAAAUGAAUUACCUACACAUACCAAUCCCUUCUAAAACUGAGGAGUCUAAGAACACAGUAAAAUCCUUAAAAAAAAAAAAUCAAUAACUUGCUCAUCACCAUGUAUUCAGAAAAAAAAAAUUCAGGAAAAUAGACAAGCCUAGUGUGGCUACUAAUAUGUAAUCAUUAUAUACAUUCAUUGAUUGGCCAUUAAUGAGCCAGCACUUUGUUUUUAACUUUACAUUAGUCUGUCCAAACACUUUUAGAUUUUGUAGCUUAGAUUGUAUUAAUACACAGACCAGAUUUAUUGAAGGUUAUUAUGUACUAACACUUAUGGAGAUUGUAUAUCUCAACUACUGCUACUACUAUUAUGAACAAUAAU